CGGGUGUAGCUUAGUGGUAAAGCCCUAGCCUUCCAAGCUAGUUAUGAGGGUUCGAUUCCCUCCACCC
rnacentral:tRNA from 1 species